CCUACGGGAGGCUGCAGUGGGGAAUAUUGCACAAUGGGGGAAACCCUGAUGCAGCGACGCCGCGUGAGUGAAGAAGUAUUUCGGUACGUAAAGCUCUAUCAGCAGGGAAGAAAAAAAGUCCUUUGGUCUUUGGACGGUACCUGACUACGAAGCCCCGGCUAACUACGUGCCAGCAGCCGCGGUAAUACGGAGGGGGCAAGCGUUAUCCGGAUUUACUGGGUGUAAAGGGAGCGUAGACGGCAGCGCAAGUCUGGAGUGAAAUGCCGGGGCCCAACCCCGGAACUGCGUUGGAAACUGUGCAGCUGGAGUGCAGGAGAGGUAAGCGGAAUUCCUAGUGUAGCGGUGAAAUGCGUAGAGAUUAGGAGGAACACCAGUGGCGAAGGCGGCUUACUGGACUGUAACUGACGUUGAGGCUCGAAAGCGUGGGGAGCAAACAGGAUUAGAUACCCUUGUAGUC
rnacentral:rRNA from 1 species